rnacentral:rRNA from 1 species
GAUGAACGCUGGCGGCGUGCCUAAUACAUGCAAGUCGAGCGAACAGAUGAGGAGCUUGCUCCUCUGACGUUAGCGGCGGACGGGUAAGUAACACGUGGAUAACCUACCUAUAAGACUGGGAUAACUUCGGGAAACCGGAGCUAAUACCGGAUAAUAUAUUGAACCGCAUGGUUCAAUAGUGAAAGACGGUUUUGCUGUCACUUAUAGAUGGAUCCGCGCCGCAUUAGCUAGUUGGUAAGGUAACGGCUUACCAAGGCAACGAUGCGUGGCCGACCUGAGAGGGUGAUCGGCCACACUGGAACUGAGACACGGUCCAGACUCCUACGGGAGGCAGCAGUAGGGAAUCUUCCGCAAUGGGCGAAAGCCUGACGGAGCAACGCCGCGUGAGUGAUGAAGGUCUUCGGAUCGUAAAACUCUGUUAUUAGGGAAGAACAAAUGUGUAAGUAACUAUGCACGUCUUGACGGUACCUAAUCAGAAAGCCACGGCUAACUACGUG